UACGAAGGGGGCUAGCGUUGCUCGGAAUCACUGGGCGUAAAGCGCACGUAGGCGGAUUGCUAAGUCAGGGGUGAAAUCCUGGAGCUCAACUCCAGAACUGCCUUUGAUACUGGCGAUCUCGAGUCCGGGAGAGGUGAGUGGAACUGCGAGUGUAGAGGUGAAAUUCGUAGAUAUUCGCAAGAACACCAGUGGCGAAGGCGGACUCACUGGCCCGGUACUGACGCUGAGGUGCGGAAAGCGUGGGGAGCGAACAGG
rnacentral:rRNA from 1 species